AGUCGAGCGAGUCUGCCUUGAAGAUCGGAGUGCUUGCACUCUGUGAAACAAGAUACAGGCUAGCGGCGGACGGGUGAGUAACACGUGGGUAACCUGCCCAAGAGAUCGGGAUAACACCUGGAAACAGAUGCUAAUACCGGAUAACAACAGAUGAUGCCUAUCAACUGUUUAAAAGAUGGUUCUGCUAUCACUCUUGGAUGGACCUGCGGUGCAUUAGCUAGUUGGUAGGGUAACGGCCUACCAAGGCGAUGAUGCAUAGCCGAGUUGAGAGACUGAUCGGCCACAUUGGGACUGAGACACGGCCCAAACUCCUACGGGGGGCAGCAGUAGGGAAUCUUCCACAAUGGACGCAAGUCUGAUGGAGCAACGCCGCGUGAGUGAAGAAGGGUUUCGGCUCGUAAAGCUCUGUUGUUGGUGAAGAAGGACAGGGGUAGUAACUGACCUUUGUUUGACGGUAAUCAAUUAGAAAGUCACGGCUAACUACGUGCCAGCAGCCGCGGUAAUACGUAGGUGGCAAGCGUUGUCCGGAUUUAUUGGGCGUAAAGCGAGUGCAGGCGGCUCGAUAAGUCUGAUGUGAAAGCCUUCGGCUCAACCGGAGAAUUGCAUCAGAAACUGUCGAGCUUGAGUACAGAAGAGGAGAGUGGAACUCCAUGUGUAGCGGUGAAAUGCGUAGAUAUAUGGAAGAACACCGGUGGCGAAGGCGGCUCUCUGGUCUGUUACUGACGCUGAGGCUCGAAAGCAUGGGUAGCGAACAGGAUUAGAUACCCUGGUAGUCCAUGCCGUA
rnacentral:rRNA from 1 species